AAAUGUUUGUCUCUCCUCUCCUCUGGAUUGUGUUACUCUGUGGGACCCGGCUGUGGGUUCUGUGUGCCUGUGCAUCAUAUACAGCAAGACGCAGAGGCAAGGCCAGCUGGCUAGGCUUCUCCUAUCUAACUGCUUGUUGUCAUGUUUCCUCAAGCAACUGUCUUUGGGGAAACCAUUAAUGUUAAGUUCUCUGGGGAAAUGGAGAGGAAUCAGUUCCUCCCACCAGCUAUGGGAUAGACUUCCCAUGCCAGGAGGCAAGUCCAUACUUGGCAAAUCCACUAGCCUUAUUUCUCAACAUUCAUGAUUCUGACAGUUACCUAUUUUUAUUUCCUUUACUAGGUUUUGGGUGCUCUUUUGGUCCUACUGGGUUCUCCAGGGAGCAAAUCUCUUUAGGAUACUUACAUAUCUUUAUUAUCUGAUCUUUUUAAUCAAGAAGAGGUGACUCAUUCAGGGCAGUCUUGCUGCAAGAGUAGAGCGACUAUUAAAAGAAGAGGAGGGAUAUUGGAACUGAAGUUUUGAUGAUGAAGUUGGAUUGAGAGAGAGGCCACUAAUAGGUUAAGGAACUGAAUCUACAAUGUGGACUAAACACUGGCCGACUCCUGCCCCUGUGGAGCUUCCAUUCUAGUGGAGAGACGAGCAUAUUGAAAUAAUCACACGAACAUAAAACGGCGACCAUGAAAAGUGGUAUGGAAGGGAGGCCUUUGGGGACUCUGACAAGAGCAGUUUUCCAGUGCUCUCUAUAGAGCUGUGUGUAGAGCUGUAUUCCAGGUUUUGUGCCAAGACUGUCACAUGUACUAACUCACAUGACCCCCUACAUCAACCGUGUGAUGCAGGCACGAGUAUUCAGGCCAGUUUUGCAUGAAGAAGGAAGUUGACUCUUAGAUGUGCAAAAGUUGCAUAGAGAAUAAGUCAUGAAGUUUUGAACCUUCCAAGCUCUCUUCGGAUCCUGAGCUUCUAACUACCACCCAAGAACACGUGAGAUGGAAACUUGAGCAUGUUACUUGUGCCCUGAGUCUGUAAAAUGCUGAUGUUAAUGAAGUACAAAUGAGGUCUGUGAUUGUCAAGCCUCAACUUGCGCCAGAACUGCCUGGGAAGCUUUCUAAAACUGCAGAUAAAAUUUCAGUCAUUGUAGGAUGGGUCCUGCACGUCAGCAUUUUAAAAUGCUUUCCAGGUGAUUCUGAUGUGUAGCCAGGGUUGAAAACCACUGCUUCAGAUCAGCUCUGAGCUAAGAUUUGCUGCCAAUUCUUCUCUUUUUGCUGAGGAAGAUCGGCCCUGAGCUAACAUCCGUGCCCAUCUUCCUCUACUUUAUAUGUGGGACACCUGCCACAGCAUGGCUUGAUGAGCAGUGCCAUGUCUGCACCUUGGAUCUGAACCAGUGGACCCCAGUCCGUGAAAGCGGAACAUGUGCACUUAACCACUGGGCCACCGGGCUGGCCCCUUGUACAAUUUUUUUAUGAACACUGCCUCCGCCAGCCAGAUGGCCACUUCCCAUAUAGCCUCCUUUGUUGUUCAAAGUCACAGCCUUUGAUCAAAGGGAACUUGGAGUAUAAGUCUUUCACUUUUUUUAAAGACUGAGCUCUUAAAAGACAUGGAAGGUAUAUUACCAGGUCUUUUUCUGGCUGUUCAGUUCCAUAUGAAUCAGCAGAAGUGAGUAGUGGUCCGUGAAACUGAUGCAUCUUGGCAGGCUUUGCAUUGCAUCUUGCACACACUCCAGGAAGAAGACUCACCUUGUGAAUGACCACAUCAGGCCCACAGAUCUGCCUUUUACACACCACAGUGGGAAGACACACUGGGCACCCUUCUGUCUUAGAUGUGUCACAGCGCACCUCAAACCUGCUGGUGACUGUGAGUCCUUAUUGUUCCAUGGAACAUAGGUGUGGUUUCUUUUUUCAGAAUAAAUCAAGCACUUGAUGAAACUCCAUGAACUUUUAUGAUGAUGAUAGUGACAAUAACAACAAAAUUAUAUUGCGUGCUUAAUCCUUCAUAUACCAGGAAUAGUUCUCAACAUUUACCAUUUGAAUCUAAGGAAUCCAUUUUAUGUUUUUAUAUUUUUAAAUCAUCUUAUGAGUAAUUUACAGAAGCAAAAUCAGAGACAUUGUGAAAAACAACUUUAUUAGAAAUUUUAAUAAAAAUGUAAACAUAGGAAAACCAAAUUUUUUAUUCUGUGUUUUCCUGGUUUUGUAGGUAUAUAUAUGUAAGAUGGGAAACUUCCUUUGAAUGCCAUUAACUCAUCAACUGUCAUGUAUGAUUCUGGAACACAUCUAUCUUGUGAAUACUGAUUCCAGAUUUCAAAUACAUCUCUAAAAGGUUUAGCUUAUCAUUACUUCUGAUUUUAUCUUCUUGCACUUAAAAAUAUAAUACUUUUGAAAAUUCUGAUGUCUCAUAAUUUUGUUUGAGAAGACAGCCAUCUUUGUUCCAUAAUUGCAAAACAUUUCAGAUUUAUAAACAUCAGUUAGCGUGACCAAUUCAGUAGAAGUUUCAUUUUUUACAUUAACUAUUUUCUUCCAUCUACCUUUUCAUACAUACCUGC
ensembl:lncRNA